GACUACAGCAUGGUGGGAAGAUCAGGCAUAUAGCAUCAAAUCGUGCCAGCAUUUAUGAGAAUACGCUCGCUGAGUCGGGGCUGCUUGGCUCCAGAUUCCAACCAUGCUGCUUACAUGCGUCGCCCAUUUCGUGUAGUCCAACUUCUGGCUCAUGGAGUAGUGCUGCCAUCAGUCUUCCAGGAUAAAGCAGGCUUGUUCUGUCCAGUGGGGACCGGGAUGACCCCCACCGGUCCAUGGGGGAGGGAGGAUAUGCGAGGCCCAGCAAGACUUCGAGGCUGGGGAAUCAGCUGCGUCACCUGCCCAGCAUUAAUGGAGUUGGACCAAUGCAAGACAGAUAUUAUAUAUCCCGCUACUCUAUGGUUUUCACAACACCUGGCACUGAACCUCCAAUAUAAACAGGGUUGUUCACUAAAGUGAGAAUUCAGAGUGAAUUUUAAAUGUAAGGCCAGAGUGCACAAACUGACCGUUUAACUGACUUAGAGAAUUUUUCCAAUUUAACUAUUUCAACCUUAAAGGGACACUAUAGUCACCUGAACAGCUACAGCUUAAUGUAGUUGUUCUGGUGUCUAUAGUAUGUCCCUGCAGGCUUUUUGCUCUCUAGGGACACCUUCAGUGGACACUCCUAAGAUGGCUACUAGAGGUGCUUCUUGGGGGGCAGUGCUGCACUUCUGAUGAUCUCAGUCAAGGAGACAGAUCAGGGGCAGAACUAGCACCAGCAGACUGGAAUAAAG